CUACGUGCCAGCAGCCGCGGUAAUACGUAGGUGGCAAGCGUUGUCCGGAUUUAUUGGGCGUAAAGCGAGCGCAGGCGGUUCCUUAAGUCUGAUGUGAAAGCCCCCGGCUCAACCGGGGAGGGUCAUUGGAAACUGGGGAACUUGAGUGCAGAAGAGGAGAGUGGAAUUCCAUGUGUAGCGGUGAAAUGCGUAGAUAUAUGGAGGAACACCAGUGGCGAAGGCGACUCUCUGGUCUGUAACUGACGCUGAGGCUCGAAAGCGUGGGUAGCAAACAGGAUUAGAUACCCUGGUAGUCCACGCCGUAAACGAUGAGUGCUAAGUGUUGGAGGGUUUCCGCCCUUCAGUGCUGCAGUUAACGCAUUAAGCACUCCGCCUGGGGAGUACGACCGCAAGGUUGAAACUCAAAGGAAUUGACGGGGGCCCGCACAAGCGGUGGAGCAUGUGGUUUAAUUCGAUGCAACGCGAAGAACCUUACCUACUCUUGACAUCCAGAGAACAUUC
rnacentral:rRNA from 1 species